UGGGGAAUUUUGGACAAUGGGCGAAAGCCUGACCCAGCAAUGCCGCGUGUAGGAAGAAGGCCUUCGGGUUGUAAACCACUUUUGUACGGAACGAAACGGUUCGCUUUAAUACAGCGGGCUAAUGACGGUACUGUAAGAAUAAGCACCGGCUAACUACGUGCCAGCAGCCGCGGUAAUACGUAGGGUGCGAGCGUUAAUCGGAAUUACUGGGCGUAAAGCGUGCGCAGGCGGUUAUAUAAGACAGUUGUGGAAUCCCCGGGCUCAACCUGGGAAUUGCAUCUGUGACUGUAUAGCUAGAGUACGGUAGAGGGGGAUGGAAUUCCGCGUGUAGCAGUGAAAUGCGUAGAUAUGCGGAGGAACACCGAUGGCGAAGGCAAUCCCCUGGACCUGUACUGACGCUCAUGCACGAAAGCGUGGGGAGCAAACAGG
rnacentral:rRNA from 1 species